rnacentral:lncRNA from 1 species
CGGUUGAGGUUCUGCACAGGUUUGACAAGUUUGACUUGAUCUCAUCAAAUGCGAGCUAUUGCCCUCUUUGCUCUCGGAAAGGACUCUCCAUCUCGGGAUUCCCUCCCUUAGAUCAACUGGAGACUCUCCUUCCAACGAUAGCCUUAUUGUCUACGUCCUUUUAUAUGCGGACUCUUCUCUUUCCUCGCUUUGGAAAGGUUCGACCUAGUCAUAACAUACCCGAACGUAGUUUCUACUUAAUGAAUUUCGUUCAUUGGCUUGUUCUUCAACCCAGACACGUUCUUUCAUCCCUAUACCAGCUCUUCAAUACAGGUUCUGGGAAGGGUCAAUGUAAUUGCUAUUGAUGCUCUCCCUGUCGCGAGAGGGGAUAGGAUCCAUCUAUUUUUUAUAGCACGUAAAACUAGGUUGAGGGAAGCCUAUUUACUAAAAAAAUCCUCUUUUUCCGCCCGUACUAAGCUUCGGGAUGACACAUAUUUCAGUUAAGGCAUCCUCUUGCUCGUUUAUAAGGCUUUUUCUUUAUGCUAGUAAAUUGAACACCUGGAAAAUCGGUAGUUUCAAACUGAAUUCUUUUUUUUUUUUUUUAAUUUAAUUUAGAGUGAUGGCUUGACAGACCUUGAUGCUAGGCUGCUCUUCUUCACUUCGUCCACCCUCACUGCCGAUCGCCUCUUGCCUCUCCUUCGAGAAAAAAACCUAUUUCUCUCUAUGGAGAGAAACCCCUUGGAACACCUUUGCCUCCUAGGAAUAAGAUAAUAGCAUUUUUCUGUUUUUUAGUUUUUAGGUGCAGUACGCGAAAACCCCGACAUCCCAGUCUUCCAUUCCAAUUUUAUAUACCUCAUGAACCAGUUGACAACACACUCUUGCCCUUGGCUAGAUCAUCGGCGUAUCGAGUAUACCGGAGAUAAGGAGCACUCAUAAAAUGGAAGCCCAUCAUCUAUGGAUCUGCAAAUAUAUAUAUUCAUGAGUACGGGUGAGUUGGAACUGCUUGGGGGAUUCCCCGCUCAGUUGCCACCUAGUUUUUUUCCAUCCCGGCCGAAGAUAUUCGUAGUUAGGAAAUCUCUAUGAAAAAGAUCGAUCAGCUCUUUUUUAAAUCCUCGCUUAAAGUACCGCAAGGAACAAAACGGGGAAGAAAAUCGAAGCAAGUCAAAAUAUCUGCCAAUUUCAUCCCAUCUACUGGUCCUCAACUCUCCUCUCUCUCUGGCUUCUGAGAUUGGUUCUAGCAUAAUUCGUUCAGUUUAGGAGCUAUAAUGUAGGCACGAUUACGACAUCCCUUGUGGUAGACGUAGCCAAAGAAAACAAAUUCAUAAGGAAGAAUAAAAAAGUGAUCCCAUCGGGGGGCGGGCGUCCUACAAAAAAAACGUAUGAGAGACGAAGGAAGAAAGUUCCAUUUACGGAACCAAUGACCUCACAUCAAUUGCCUUCUUCGGAAGAUCCAGGUAUUCCUCUUUCCCUUCCUAUUGAAUCUUCUUCGUUAUUUCCUGUUACUCCUGCUUCUUCUGAUUCCAAAAUGGAUCUUCCUAUUGCUUUGAGAUAAGGGAAACGUUCUUGUACUAUUCAUCCCAUCACUCAAAUUCUUUCCUUUGAAGGCCUCUCUCCUUCCUACAGGUCUUUUGCUCUUGCUCUUUCUUCUGCAAAAGAACCCAAAAGUCUACGGGAGGCCC